rnacentral:rRNA from 1 species
GAUGAACGCUGGCGGCGUGCCUAAUACAUGCAAGUCGAGCGAACAGACGAGGAGCUUGCUCCUCUGACGUUAGCGGCGGACGGGUGAGUAACACGUGGAUAACCUACCUAUAAGACUGGGAUAACUUCGGGAAACCGGAGCUAAUACCGGAUAACAUGUUGAACCGCAUGGUUCAACAGUGAAAGACGGUCUUGCUGUCACUUAUAGAUGGAUCCGCGCCGCAUUAGCUAGUUGGUAAGGUAACGGCUUACCAAGGCAACGAUGCGUAGCCGACCUGAGAGGGGGACGGGCCACCCGGGACCGGGACACGGUCCAGACUCCCAAGGGGAGGAGGCGUUAGGGAAUUUCCGCAAAUGGGCGAAGCCUUACGGGGGAAACGCGGGGGGGGUAAGAAGGUCUUUCGGACGGUAAAACCUUGUAAUUAGGAAAAAACAAAUUUGAAGGAAACUAUGCCCGUUUGAAGGGUACCAAAUCAAAAGGCCCCGCUUACUUCCGG